rnacentral:rRNA from 1 species
GACGAACGCUGGCGGCGUGCUUAACACAUGCAAGUCGAACGGACAGGCCCUGCUUUUGUUGGUUGCUCGAUUGGCGCACGGGUGAGUGACACGUGAGUAACCUGCCCUUGACUUUGGGAUAACUUCAGGAAACUGGGGCUAAUACCGGAUAUGAUCUCCUGCUGCAUGUUGGUGGUUGGAAAGUUUCGGCGUUUGGGGAUGGACUCGCGGCUUCUCAGCUUGUUGGUGUGGUAGUGGCUUACCAAGGCUUCGACGGGUAGCCGGCCUGAGAGGGUGACCGGGCACAUUGGGACUGAGAUACGGACCAGAAGCGUACGGGAGGCAGCAGGGGGGAGUAUUGCAGAAUGGGCGGAAGCCAGAUGCGGCAGCGCCGCGUGCGGGAUGACGGCCUUCGGGUUGUAAACCGCUUUCGCCUGUGACGAAGCGUGAGUGACGGUAAUGGGUAAAGAAGCACCGGCUAACUACGUG